UCUCUCUCUCUCUCUCUCUCGCUCUCUAUUUAUCUACAUCCAAGAAUCACUCCAACAAACCCAUAGCAGAGAUCCUCUUACUUUUCACAGGAAACAAUUGAUAUGGCAUCAAAGAAAGAGAUGGAAGUGGUGAAGGGUGUAGACCUAAAGAGGUACAUGGGGAGAUGGUAUGAAAUAGCUUCAUUCCCAUCAAGAUUUCAGCCCAAGAAUGGAGUGAAUACAAGGGCUACCUACACUUUGAAUGAGGAUGGUACUGUUCAUGUCCUGAAUGAGACAUGGACUGAUGGGAAAAGAGGGUAUAUAGAGGGUACAGCCUACAAGGCUGAUCCCACAAGUGAUGAAGCUAAGCUCAAGGUUAAAUUUUAUGUCCCUCCUUUCUUGCCCAUCAUUCCUGUUGUUGGGGAUUACUGGAUUUUGAUUUUAGAUGACAACUAUAGUUAUGCUUUGAUUGGGCAACCCAGUAGGAAUUACCUUUGGAUUCUUUGCAGGCAAACUCAUCUUGAUGAUGAGAUCUACAACCAGCUGGUGGAGAAGGCCAAAGAAGAAGGGUAUGAUGUGAGCAAGCUACACAAGA
rnacentral:misc_RNA from 1 species